CCAGAAAUAGACCGGGACCAAUUUUUAUUCUGCAUGGCUGCUGGAAACAUCGUGUCACAUCUUUGAUUAAUUUCAUCUGAAAAUAAACAACCACAGAUCGCUCCAUCCAUUCCAUGGCUGAAGCAUACAUUUUCAUUUAAUCUGAACAGAUAUCCCAGAAAGAUGAAGCUGAGGAAGAGCUGCAGAGUACCACCAUGGCACUCUUCGUCUUCAGGGACAACUCAAGCCUCCUACAUCAGCCUCGAGACAUCGGGAUAAUCAUUGAUGGUGUGGAAGUCCUGAAUGAGUUGCCUUCUGUGGCAGCUGGAGUGGCAAUGGUCUUUGGACUCUGUUAUGCUCUUAAUAUGGAAUAUCCACGAGGAUUCAGGUUCACCUUUGAGGCUCUUCAAAAGAUUAUGAUGGAGCUUGACUUUAACAAGAUGACCUCUAAGAUUCGCAAACUUAAUUGUGAACUUAACACUGCACAGUAGUGUGUUUGCAUGCAUGUGUGCAUGUGUAUGUGCACAUGCAUGUGCAUGUGUGCUUGGUUAUUUUGCUUGGUUGGCCUGCAGUGGUAUUCUACAUUCAAAAUUUAUAAGAACACCCAUUUGAAAGGGAGAUUUAAGUUGAUUUCAUUGAUACAUGUGUAGAUUUUUUUUUUUUUUUUUUACAUUGUACAGGCACAGUGCACAUAUAAACAUUUUUGAGUACUUGCAAAUUGGUUUAAAAAGAGUUUUUAUAAUGGUUUUAUGCCAGUUUUAGACAGGUUGCAGGUUUUAUACUGGUUUUCAAAAGAUUGCAGGUUUUAUA